rnacentral:sRNA from 1 species
GUCAAUGGCUUCUCUA